GGUGCCGUGUAUUAACGUCAGGUAGCGCUGUUAGACGCUCGAUCGUUAUUGUCAGUCAACACGUACGUAGCGGCAGCCCUCGCACGCUGACAUGUGAGCACACCGGAGCCGCAGACAGUCAGGGAAAUGUUUAGGUCCUUGUGCCUGGAAACUGUCAGCAGCGGCCUCUUGUUUUGUGUACACGGACGGUAAACAGCACACAAACGGACGAGAAGUCUUUAAGACACACGAGGACACUCAGCAAACGCUGGCUGAACGCUAUAGUCUCAUCCGAGCAGGUGAGGACAAGAAAACAUUAGGGUUUCUAAACAUCCAGGAUGAACAAGCAAAACACAAGGACAAAAGACAUACCUAAAGGCUCCAUAAAAUAAAUGCCCCAGCCAGCCCAUUACAGUGAUUUGGUCCAAGGACAAAGGAUAAAAGGGAAAACUGGAACAGGAGGCAGAUAACCUGCUGUGAAGAUGAGGAACUCCACCCUGAGCAUUCAAAGUUGUGCAUUCGAUGGUUGCUAGCCCAAGUUAAAAUUAACGAGGCUAUUGCAAACUUCAAAUUGUGCUGAAUAGUCCUGCUAAGCCCUUGAGAGGCCCUUGUAUUGUUUUCAUGUUCAAGAAACACGUUUUAUUUUAAAUAUGGAAUGUCUUGUGGAAGUUCAUGUUCAGAUGGCCAGUGUGCCCCUCAGCAGUGACACCAUGUAAAUAAGUUGGGUGCAAACCAAAACUUUUUUAUUGGACAGUCAAUAGGUACCCCUACCAUUCAACUGUAUUAAAAUCUUUUUCUAUUUCCAGAGUUAGCAGGACCUCUAGAAGCACAGUUGUUGCAGGGUUAAAAAAUAGACUGCACAAUUAUGAAAGACUUUAUAGAAAAUGUCUAAGUUUAACAAAUCCAGUUUGAUUGUGUAGAAUCCCUUCUAUUUAUUUUUGUUUUUUGCUAAAAUUUGUACUGAAAUUUUUACUACAUUGUUUUAUAAAGAAUCAGUCCUUAGG